UUGUCCAUGGAUGUAUGGCCACCAGCGAAGGGUCCGAUUUUUCUGAGUAGUGUAAGAUGUAGAGGCAAUGAAGCCAACAUCCUUUCGUGUCCUCACCAACAAGGUGAAAACAGCUGUAGCCAUGAUCAGGAUGUAGCAAUAGAGUGCAAAGAAACAGACACGAAGAGAUCUUCAUUGUCAGCUACGGGGCUAACUGCCAUCCGCGCGAUUGCUGUAGCAGUCUUUCCUUGCAUAGUACUCGGUGUGACACUGAAAUUCUGCAUACAUAAAUACCGUGCAAAGCGGAAUGCCCGUACAAGACGAGAAAGCAAUGAGACACGAGAAGCAAACUCAUUCGUUACUAGAAGAUUGACUUCUAUAGGACGAGAAUCCAGGGUACCACGCUCUUCUACCAAUGGAGUCUUUUUCACAAACAACAGCAAUACAGUUCAAAGCCCUUUCCACUCUUCAGUUAUGGCGUGGCAAAACCACCAUCUCCUCCAGCAAACUUAACUCAAGACCCUCCGUCAUAUGUAGAGCUGUUUCCAAACGGGGAGGGUAAAACUCCUGACAAAACGCCCCCACCACCAUCUUACGAGAGCGUCGCAUCGACAAGGUGGUAGACAAGAAAAGAUGACUCCAGUUCAGUUUUGAAAAUAUCUUUGGCUGCUUGAGAGCGCCAAGAAGCGCCUAUUGACACUAGGGACUGAAUAUGAUGCCGAAUAAAUGAACAGCCCUUACGGGUUACAAGAUGCAAUGCAUAACCCAUAUCCUUCAUGAAAUACUGUUAAUCUGCUUCUAUAUGAUAUGUGGGCGCUUGCGUGACCGAGGUGGUUAGCACGCUAGCACGUCGUUGUGAGCGCAAAGUCCAGCUCAUCCGCCGUACUUGAUCGUGAGUUUUCCCCGGGCUCUAUCCGAUUUCCUCCCGCCAUCAUGCUGGCAGCCGUGGAGUAAGUGAAAUAUUCUUGGGUAGGGCGCUAAACACCAAUCAGAUAAAUCUAUCAAUAUAAUAUAUGUAUUGCUUUAGCUGUAUAUUUACGACUAGCGGAAAAUAUCCAUAAAGUAUUGUACAUACAAUGACCUCCGUUAGUUAUCACGUGCGAGAUCACUAUGUUAUGCCUUGUAAUGAAUUAAUGAACUUUUUUGCUGUUCUUGAUGAAUUAGAAAGCAUCAUCCGAUAGUGAUGUCCUGUCUGCCAAAGCUAAUAUUCAGUUUAGGCUAGGCAUAGCCUGGACUUGCUUAUAUUUCAUUCCAACCAGUCAGAAGCGAUUCUGUAUCCCUUUAAUGUUCGAACGAUUCUGUAUCCCUUCAAUGUUUGAACGAUUCUGUGAACCCUUAAUACCUUAACCUUACUGGACGUUAAAAAUAGAGUCUUUUGUCCCUCCGGCAACUUGUUUUUUUGGCUAAACAGCUAUCAACAGAAACUUGUGACACUCCCAGUUGUUUUUUUUUAUAAAAGACAACAUUUGAAAAAUGUACACAUUGCCUUCAUUUUGGCUCGAAACUAAUUUACAGAUUUUAACACUAUAUCUACUUUAUUGCGUGUUACUGACAUGGAUGCAAUUCUGUCUAAUCAUCUUCUACAGUUGCCAACAGAUGAUAGACAACUGAGUGGUGUUGUACUAGACACUUUCAGUUUCUGCACUGUACCUUUUCACUCUGGCACGAAACCCCAAUUUAUUUGUUUAUUUGAUUGGUGUUUUACGCCGUACUCAAGAAUAUUUCACUUAUACGACGGCGGCCAUCAUUAUGGUGGGAUGAAAACAGGGCACAGCCCGAGG